GCCGCUCUUUCUCCGGAGCCGGGCGGUUGUCCCGUGCUCCCCCUCAUUUGGGGACUAGGAGUCCGAAGAAGGGAGGGCCGGCGGGCGACUCGCUCGUGUUGUCUUUUGGCACCAGGAAACUUGGAGAGACUUCCCUUUGCGAGGCUGGCCGUGAGUUUGCUGGCGCGGGGACCUCCGGAGCUCCCGCCUCGGCCGCUUGAGAGACGAAAUCAGCGCCCCCUCCCAUCCAUCCCUUAGGAGCUCUCGGGAGAUCGAGAAAUGCAGCGGGAACACUUGCGAGUGGGAUUGAUAGCCGCGUUAUUUGGGACGAGGGUGGUGGAAUCUCUACGAGUCGCCUUCUUGUGCAACCAGCCACUGUGCAACUAGCAAGGAAGCCUUAGGGGGUAUUUUACAGGAUCUCGGAGUGAGCGACGUCUGCUGUACACAGAACCAAAAAGACUACAACCAAAUUUCCUUGUAGUUAUGACUGGAAUGAGGAUGGUCAUCUCUCUCUGUGAGUUUAGAGCCCCAGAGUGUAGUAGUUAUUCAGGAAUGUCAAACAUUAUCUUUGUGUUGUGGAGUGCAAGUGUAUAAUCUGGCCUGUGCAGUGUAAAACAGGGUGAAAACCCGGUUUAUUGGGGAGAUUUAAAAAAAAGGGGGGGGGGAUGACAUUGACAUUCUUACGGACCAAUCUUAUCCAUGUCUACUCAGAAAUAAAUUUCACUGUUCAAAUUUACAUCCAGAAAAAUGUGCAUAGGAUUACAGCCUUCAUUUACCAAUGGUAAAAGAAAUAUAUACAAAUUGAGAUUACCCUAUUGAAUAAUUUGAAGGCUCAAGAGUUAAAGGAUUUUUGACAGGAGUAGUAACUGGUUGCAUGGAAAGUCUAAAGAACAAGCAGGCCAAGAAGAAUCUCGGCAUUUGUGCCUAAUGGCGAGGAAAUGGGGCUUGCUUGGGGACAAAAGUGGACAUCCCAGGCCAUGUGGCUGAUGCCAUGCAUUCAGCAUAAACACUUUUAAGAGUGAUGAAUUAAACAUCAUGGUACAGCCUCCUAUCAGUUAAUAUCUUCUAUCCCAAAGGGGAAACUUCCUCCAUUAUGGGGACAGCCUCAUCCUUGGUAAGCCCAGUAGGCACAGUUGGGGAAGUGAUUGAAGACACAUAUGAGGGGGUUGGGGGUGAAGCCUGUGAAAUCCCCGUGGAGGUGAAACCAAAAGCCCGCCUCCUGCGCAGCUCCUUCCGCCGCGUGGGGACGUCACGGCCUGGAGGUCUUAUUGGUGCUAGCUUCAAAUCCACUGCCUCUGUUCAAGAGCUGGAGUGUAUGGCAGAGUACGAACGCCUAAAGAAAGAAUAUGAAAUCUUUCGUAUCAGCAAGAACAAUGAGCUGGCAUCUAUGAUGAAAAAAGAGGCAAAACUGGAUAAGGAAAACAAGCGCCUGCGGGCAGAGCUGCAGGCACUUCAGAAAACAUAUCAGAAAAUACUCAGAGAGAAAGAAAGUGCUUUGGAAGCUAAAUACCAAGCCAUGGAGAGAGCUGCUACAUUUGAACAUGACCGAGACAAAGUCAAGAGACAGUUCAAGAUUUUCAGAGAAACCAAGGAAAAUGAAAUUCAGGAUUUACUGAGGGCCAAGCGAGAGUUGGAGGCAAAACUGCAGAGACUGCAAGCUCAAGGCAUCCACAUAUUUGACCCUGAAGAGACAGACUCGGAUGAUAGCUGUUCAGAGGUUGCUGCAACUGGAGCUCAGUCGGAGUAUUGGAGUGGUGGAGCCUUGGGAAGUGAGCCAUCCAUGGGCAGUAUGAUGCAGCUUCAACAGUCUUUCAGAGGCCCUGAGUUUGCACAGAGUUCCAUUGAUGUGGAAGGGCCAUUUGCAAAUAUCAACAGAGAUGAUUGGGAUGCAGCUGUUGCCAGUCUGUUGCAGGUCACUCCAUUGUUUUCCCACUCUUUGUGGAGUAACACAGUAAGAGUAUAUCUCAUUAAUACAGAAGAGACUAAGUCAGAAGUAGACAUCUUCAUACAGAAAUACUCUCCAAAACUUCAGAAAUAUUGCGAGACAAUGGAGUACUUCUUCCAAGCUGUCCAUUUUCGAGUAGAAACUGAAAGUCCUAUCCAGUCUGUGAGGAAAUGGGAAAUUGAGAAAAGUUCUUUAACUAUUUUGUUUUUGCAUUUAACUUUGCCAAGCUGUCUGCUGGAGGAGUGCGAAGAAGUCUUUUUGAAAAACCCAGAGGGAAAGCCCCAUCUUCUUUACUACCGUUUGGAAGAGGGCCAAAACAGCUCAGAUUCUGUGCAGCAGUUAGUUGAACAAGUUCGUUACAUGAACAAAGCAAAGAUAAUCAGCCAUGUGGGAGGAGUAGAGGAGGGAGCACAUGCAGUCUACAGUUACGUAGAAAAGACCAUAAAGAAGGAUAUCCUUGGCUGUGAAAUGGCAGAGCUGGAAAAAAAAGAUGCAGCUGACAACAGUGACUCCUCUGUUCCUGAAGAGGAAAUCUUUGGAGAUGUGCUGUGGGAUGCACACGAUGAACAAGAACAGAUGGAGGCUUUCCAGCAGGCCUCCAAUUCAACUUGCGAGCUAGGAUUUGAAAAGUAUUACGAACGCUUAAACGACUUAGUGGCAGCACCAGCACCUAUUCCACCCCUUCUUGUAUCUGGAGGGCCAGGCUCUGGAAAAUCUCUUCUGCUAUCAAAAUGGAUUCAGCUGCAACAGAAGCAUUCAUCAAAUACACUAAUUUUAUAUCAUUUUGUUGGGAAACCUACAUCAAGCAGUGCAGAGCCUGCCCUGAUCCUCAAACGUCUCACAUUAAAGCUCAUGCAGCAUUCCUGGUCAGUCUCACCGCUGACAGUGGAUCCGGCUAAACUGUUAGAAGAAUUUCCUCGUUGGCUGGAGAAGCUCUCUGCUCACCACCAGGGCAGCAUUAUAAUAAUUAUUGACUCUGUUGACCGAAUACAGCAAGCUGAAAAGCACAUGAAGUGGCUGAUCGACCCCCUGCCAGUGAACGUCAGGGUUGUAGUGUCUGUGAAUGUUGAAACGUGUCCCCAAGCAUGGAGGCUAUGGCCAACUCUUCAUCUUGAUCCAUUAAGUAUAAAGGAUGUGAACUCUCUCAUUAAUAAAGAAUGCAGCUCGGCAAGUCUGAAGCUGACGAAAGAGCAGGAGAAGAAGCUUGAGAAACACUGUCAUUCUAGUACAACUUGCAAUGCUCUGUACGUCACGCUGUUGAGUAGAAUGGUGGCUGGCGCUGGAAGUGCAGAAAAUAUUGACUUAAUCUUGCAAAAGUGUCUCCUGUGCCAAGAUACGGUGUCGCUGUACAAGCUAGUUCUGAAAUCCAUUCAUGAAUCUUUGAAAAGCGAGAAAGACCAAGGCCUCUUGAAAGAGAUUCUUUGCCUCAUCAGCAUCAGCCACAAUGGAGUAAGCGAAUCGGAACUGAUAGAACUCUGCCCUGAGCUCUCCUGGGCAGUGUUAGCCUCUGUAGUUCACAGUCUGUAUAAGAUGUGCUUUUUAACAUACGGCUGUGGCUUAUUGAAGUUUCGUCAUCUACAGGCUUGGGAAACAGUAAAGCUGGAAUUUAUGGAAGAAGAUCACAAUGCUUUUGAUGCUUGCAGAAAAAAACUGAUUGACUACUUCACCAAGCAGCUAAGUCAAGAGAGAGUGACUUGGAGAAGUGCAGAUGAACUCCCCUGGCUGUUCCAGCAGCAAGGUGACAAGCAGAAGUUACAAAAGUGCCUCUUGAAUCUCUUUGUAUCCCAGAAUCUUUAUAAAAGGGGCCAUUUUGCAGAACUGUUGAGCUAUUGGCAGCUUCUGGGGAAAGAUAAGAACUCAAUGGCAGCAGAGUAUUUUAGCUCUCUGAAGCUGUAUGAGAAAAGUUGUGAAAGAGAGGAAAAUAUGAUCUCUCUAGCUGAUCUUUAUGAGACUCUGGGACGGUUUCUUAAGGAUCUGGGCCUUCUCAGUCAGGCUAUUGCUCCUUUGCAGCGCUCCCUGGAGAUUCGAGAGACAGCCCUUGAUCCAGACCAUCCUAGAGUAGCCCAAUCUCUCCAUCAAUUAGCAGGAGUUUAUGUGCAGUGGAAGAAGUUUGGUAACGCUGAGCAGUUAUACAAACAGGCUCUUGAAAUCUCUGAAAAUGCUUAUGGAACUGAACAUCUCAGGGUUGCUCGUGAACUUGAUGCUCUUGCAACAUUGUACCAGAAACAGAACAAGUAUGAACAAGCUGAACAUCUAAGGAAAAAAUCAUUCAAAAUUCAACAAAAAGCUGUGAGGCGGAAAGGCAGCCUGUAUGGAUUUGCUCUUCUUCGCCAACGAGCCCUGCAGCUAGAGGAGCUCACGCUGGGGAAAGACACAUCGGACAAUGCUCGAACUCUCAAUGAGCUUGGUGUUCUCUACUACCUUCAAAAUAAUCUUGAGACAGCAGAACUUUUCUUGAAACGCUCCUUGGAAAUGCGAGAACGGGUUCUUGGGUCUGAUCACCCAGACUGUGCCCAGUCUUUGAAUAAUCUAGCAGCUCUUUACAAUGAGAAGAAGCAGUAUGAUAAAGCAGAGGAGCUUUAUGAAAAGGCACUGAGCAUCCGCAAGAGAGCUUUGGCCCCUGACCAUCCUUCUUUAGCUUACACGGUGAAACACCUUGCUGUGCUCUACAAGAAGAUGGGAAAGCUUGACAAAGCCGUUCCUCUGUAUGAGUUAGCUGUUGAAAUUCGGCAAAAAUCUUUUGGUCCAAAGCACCCAAGUGUGGCUACUGCUUUGGUAAACUUGGCUGUUCUUUAUUGCCAAAUGAAAAAACAUCUUGAAGCUUUGCCUCUUUAUGAACGGGCCUUGAAGAUAUAUGAAGACAGCUUUGGACGUAUGCAUCCUCGUGUGGGAGAAACGUUAAAAAAUUUGGCAGUGUUGAGCUAUGAAGGAGGAGAUUUUGAGAAAGCUGCUGAGCUUUAUAAGAGAGCCAUGGAAAUCAAAGAAGCAGAGACAUUGUUGACAGGAGGGAAAGUGGCUUCCCGUCAUUCAUCAAGUGGAGACACGCUCAGUGUGAAGAGUGCUUUCUCUCCCCAUGUUUUCUUGCAGCAAGGACAAAGGUGAUGCAAACCAGUACACAGAACACAAGGCAUGUUGGCUAUCAAAGACCAAUAUUUCAGCUGCAUUAAUUCAAGGACAGACAACGAAUGAACUCUAGUGACUAUAUAAAUGUCUAGCAUGCUUAACAGUCUGUUUUCAGUUUAGUUACAAGUCUUCAAAUACCAGCUUUGAUCCAACCAUCAGUGGAAAGUGCUUUGCUGGAUCCAGGUUUUCCCUACAUUUCUGCCCACGAAGCAGUCCCCUUUGAUCCCUACAAAAAUAAUUUGUGAACCAUGGGAACAAAAAAGCCACUUUGGUUAUGGGUUGGGCUGCAGGGAGAGGAGGGGAUGAAAUCACCCCUCCCCAUGUUAGGAACACUGCAGUUGUGGAAGACAGAAGUGGGGAGCAAUUUUGCCCAUUUUUUUGCUGCAGCCCCAUCCCCACCUGUAUGUCUUUAGGUCCUCUGGCUCCAGAAACCAUUGGCAGGGGGAUGUGGAGAAAAUCUACACGCUUUCCUCUGAUUGCUAGCUGGCCACAGUUUAUUCUCAGCAGAAUAUAUAGGAUUUAAAGUAUUGGCCAUCACAUAUAAAGUCCUUCAUGGCCUUGGAUGCUCAUAUCUGCAGGACUGCCUCUCUUCCUAAAGCCCCACCAUGACAAUUUUGUUCAUCUGAGCAGGGCCUUCUGUAGGUACUACCCUACACACCACUGCCUGUACACGUAUUAUGAUGUUCCCUUGUCCUUAAACCACCGAAAUGGCAUCAGAGGUGUUUUUAAAACUAAAAAAUAACUAAGGAGUUUAUUUACUUUAAUGGGGAACGGUUCAGGAGGGCUUUUUUAUAACAAAGAAAUGGGGAUGUAGACUUUACUAGAGUGUAUGGUACAUAUUAUCUGUUGCUAUAUGCAUUAUUUUGUUUUCACUGCAUUGUAUUUCUAUUUAUACUAUUUACUCUUUGUUUAACAUGUCAUGUAUGUUUAAUAGCUGUGCUUUGUUCAGUUUUCUGCAAUCUCAGUUCUGUUACAUUGCUUAUGCUAUGCCUUAUGACUGCCUUACCUUGCACUAAGUAAUCUGCCUUGAGUCUCAGAGGGAAAGGCAGGUGAUAAAUAAUGUAAAUAAAGCGGAAAGAUUUGAUGAUGUCAAAGAAAUACUUAAACAAAGUAAAAGAGAAAAUUUAAUUCUGUAAGAUGCAUAGCAUCUAGCUUUUGAAACAGACAAAAAUAAUAGCAACUUUUUCCAGGUACAGUCUCUUUGUGCAGCUAGUAUAGAAAAUCUGUCAUAGCAGAUCUCUGUGGAGCUGCUGUCUUGUUGCUGCUUCUUGAUCUCUAGUUGAACCUUUUCAUACCUCAACAUAAAAGAGUGGAACAAAAAUGCCUGACCAUCCUUGUGUGAACUGGGGCUACUAAACAAUAAAUUUUAACAAUGGAUUACAAUUAAUUUAAGCAAAGAAAGAGACUUAAAAGCAGUGUUUCUGUAAUGGCAUUUUAUUUAUACAUAUAACAAAAUGUUGAUAAAUUAAAAACUAUUUUGCAUUUUAUCUAAUUAGGCUGCUGUUUUAACUGUCUAAUACACUGGAAUCUCGGGCUGAGAUCCAAAGAAGCUCUUUGCCUGCACCUGAUGUAAGCGCUGUGCU